AGCCGCUGAUGACUUCUAUUUUAACUUUUUCUGACACCUCGUAUGAAUGCUGUAUUUCAGCAGCUGAUUAUAAACUUUUAGUCUGAGGCUC
ensembl:snoRNA